rnacentral:rRNA from 1 species
CCUACGGGUGGCAGCAGUGAGGAAUAUUGGUCAAUGGACGCAAGUCUGAACCAGCCAUGCCGCGUGCAUGAAGACGGCUCUCUGAGCUGUAAACUGCUUUUGUACGAGGGUAAGUCCGGAUACGUAUAUCGUGAUGAUAGUAUCGUACGAAUAAGGAACGGCUAACUCCGUUCCAGCAGCCGCGGUCAUACGGAGGGUGCAAGCGUUAUCCGGAUUUAUUGGGUUUAAAGGGUGCGUAGGCGGUUCGAUAAGUUAGAGGUGAAAUCCCGGGGCUCAACUGCGGCACUGCCUCUGAUACUGUCGGGCUAGAGUGUAGUAGCGGUAGGCGGAAUGUAUGGUGUAGCGGUGAAAUGCGUAGAGAUCAUACAGAACACCGAUUGCGAAGGCAGCUUACCAAACUACGACUGACGUUGAGGCACGAAAGCGUGGGGAGCAAACAGGAUUAGAUACCCGAGUAGUC